CGAUUGAACGCUGGCGGCAUGCCUUACACAUGCAAGUCGAACGGUAACAGGUCUUCGGAUGCUGACGAGUGGCGAACGGGUGAGUAAUACAUCGGAACGUGCCCGAUCGUGGGGGAUAACGGAGCGAAAGCUUUGCUAAUACCGCAUACGAUCUACGGAUGAAAGCAGGGGACCGCAAGGCCUUGCGCGGACGGAGCGGCCGAUGGCAGAUUAGGUAGUUGGUGGGAUAAAAGCUUACCAAGCCGACGAUCUGUAGCUGGUCUGAGAGGACGACCAGCCACACUGGGACUGAGACACGGCCCAGACUCCUACGGGAGGCAGCAGUGGGGAAUUUUGGACAAUGGGCGCAAGCCUGAUCCAGCCAUGCCGCGUGCAGGAUGAAGGCCUUCGGGUUGUAAACUGCUUUUGUACGGAACGAAAAGACUCUUUCUAAUAAAGAGGGUCCAUGACGGUACCGUAAGAAUAAGCACCGGCUAACUACGUG
rnacentral:rRNA from 1 species